AUUUUUCUGACCUGUCUAAUUUGAUCAGGUGAUUGUGAUAUGUAUAGAACCUGGCAUAGUUCAUCUAUGGAUUUAAUGAAAUUUGGUGUGGGAUUAGUGUUUAAUAAAUGGAAUUACUUGGGAGGAGUUUGCAUGAUUUUGGUGGGGAAAAAUGAUGUGUUAGGUGGGUUUUAAUUAAGAUAAAUUUCAUGGUGGUGUAAUGUCGUUUGGCCAUAGAUUUCGAAGUUGAAACAUUGUGAUUUUUGGAACUUGAAGUUGUGUUUCGACAUGCAUCUUACUUGGAAAAAAUUUGAAGUUUUGUGAGUGACAGUGAAAUUUCUCCCAAAAAUUUGAAAAUAUUUUGAAGAUAAAUUUUCAAAAUCUGAUCAAAUUUUAUGGCCAAACAUAUAUUUGAAGAUAAAUUUUCUAAAGCUAUGGCCAAACGCUAGCUUAGGUUGUGGGUAGUGGUGUUUGAAGAUGACAGAUAUUCAGCAACAACGGCAACAGAAGCCCGAGAGCACGGGGGAUGAUGCCGGUUCUGAAUUUGAGAGGGGAUGGGAGGAGUUAAUGCGCGGGCACUUGGACGAGUGUAUGUCGUUUGAUUCUUGUAGUUCAGUACACAACACUGAAGAUGAGGACGAUGAGAGUGAUGGUCUUGUGAGAAGGAGGAGGAGGAGGAGUACGGGAAUUGAAGGCGAUAAUGAUAAUCUGGCUGAGUCUUCUGCUGCUAGGCGGAGGCGUUCACGGAUUUUGGGUAGGUGGGCUGCUAGACGGGCAGAAGAUAUGAUUACUACUAUCGAGAGGAGGAAUCGUGAGUCUGAGUUGAUGGCACUUGCUGGUUUGCACACCGUGUCAACGCUUGAUUCUUCGUUCUUGAGAGAAUCACAAUCUCCUACUUCAAGGCGUCAGGGUGAUGCUGAUAGGACAAGCAGUAGGUCGUCGACUAUUUUGCAAAUGUGGCGGGAGUUUGAGGAUGAGCAUGUAUUGAAUCGUGCCCGAGACAGGGCGAGGGAAAGACUGACACACCAGAGGAGUGUGGAUUCUAAUACCAAUAUUUCGAGUACUAGUAUUUCAGAAAGCCGGGAGAGUGAGAACCAUGGUAGUUUGGUGGAUGCAAAUGAGAGUGAGAAUGAGUAUGGUACUUGGUCUCACGACGUGAUUGGACCACAGAUUGAGAACAGCGAGCAUGAAAACUCCAGCCGUGAACAGUCUCCUGAUCUAGGGGAAGUUGAGAGCGAGAGGGUGAGGCAAAUCGUUCGAGGAUGGAUGGAGAGUGGGACCAAUGACCAUUCAUCUAAUGUUUCCCAGAGGAAUGGUGGUCCAAGAAGCGAAUGGCUGGGGGAGACAGAGCGUGAAAGGGUGAGAAUUGUGAGGGAGUGGGUCCAAAUGACUAGUCAACAAAGAGGAGCUCGUGGUGGCAGAAGGGAAGAACAGUCCAAUGGGCUUAGUGCUCAAGUUGAUCGUGUUCGUGAUGGGUCUGUUGUUGACCACGAGGAAGGCCAGCCAGAGCACGUACGCAGGGACAUGCUGAGGCUGCGUGGGAGGCAGGCUUUACUUGAUUUGCUUGUGCGGAUUGAAAGGGAAAGGCAGAGGGAACUUCAGGGUCUCUUAGAGCAUCGUGCGGUUUCUGAUUUUGCCCACCGCAGUAGGAUUCAGUCACUACUAAGAGGAAGGUUCUUGCGAAAUGAAGGGCCUGCUGAGGAAGAGAGACCACCUUCAAUGGCAGCAAGCGAACUAGUUCAGCUUAGGCAACGCCACACUGUCUCUGGGCUCAGGCAAGGAUUUCGCUCCAGAUUAGAAAACAUUGUACGUGGUCAAGUAAGCAGCAAUUCUGAAUCUUCAUCUAAUAGUGGCAACAGUGGUCUGAGAAGUAACCAGGCUCACGCAAAUCCUUCACAGGAGGUACAAAAUGAAAAUCUUGAACAGCUGCAGUCUAGGGAGCAAGAGCGGAUUACUCAUCAGUUGCCUGAUCAGAGAGAGAGUUUUGAUUCCAGUACAACUGGUCAGGCUACAAAUUCACUAGUGUCUCCUAACCAAGGAAGGGGUCGAGUGGAACCUGUUGUUGAAGCUGAAGGAGCAAAUCAGCGGGAUGCAACUUCUAAUGAACGGACUCGUGGAACUAUGGAGAAUACAAGUGGGAAUUGGCCACAAAAUCAACCAAUUGCUUGGCACCUUGAAACAACAGGUGACGUGAAUAGAGAUGAACGCCGUUUACCAGAAAAUAAUGAGGUUUGGCAUGAGGAUGGGUCACGAGAAGCUGUGGAGAAUUGGUCAGAAGGAUCUUCUGAUCCUCCUAGAAUGCGGCGUUCUGUCCCUUCUAGGAGAAUUAGUAGAUUCCAUCCGCCCGAUGAUGAUAAUGUGUAUAGUAUGGAACUCAGGGAGCUUCUUAGCAGGAGAAGUGUUUCCAAUCUUCUUCGCAGUGGCUUCCGUGAAAGUUUAGAUCAUUUAAUUCAGUCAUAUGUAGAAAGGCGAGGCCGUGCUCCAAUUGACUGGGAUAUGCAUAGGAACUUGCCUAUUCCAACUUCACCUGAAAGGGAUCAGGACCAACAGAAUGAUGAGAGAAAUGAUGCCCAACAGGAAGGAAUUACCAGGCCUUCACUUGUGCUGCCAACUUCUCCUGUACCUCCUCCACAACCACUUUGGCAUCAGGAUUUGCACCAGUCCAGUUGGCCACGUCACUCUGUGCAUCGUUCUGAACUUGAGUGGGAGAUGAUGAAUGACCUUAGAACGGACAUGGGAAGACUGCAGCAAGGUAUGAAUCACAUGCAAAAGAUGUUGGAGGCCUGCAUGGAUAUGCAACUGGAGUUGCAACGUUCUGUCAGACAGGAGGUUUCAGCUGCUUUAAAUAGAUCAGCUGGUGGACAAGGAGUUGCUGAGACUUCAGUCGAUGGAUCUAAAUGGGGCCACGUGGAAAAGGGUACUUGCUGCGUUUGUUGUGAUAAUCACAUUGAUGCCUUGUUGUACAGAUGUGGGCACAUGUGCACUUGCUACAAAUGUGCAAAUGAAUUGGUUCGAGGUGGAGGGAAGUGUCCAUUGUGCAGGGCACCAAUUGUUGAGGUGAUCCGAGCUUACUCAAUAUUGUAAAUCCAAAGGACAGGAAGUUCAAGAAAAACUAAGAUAAAAGUUGGUAAGGUAUGGAGGAGUUGAAUGCUCCCUCUGCCGAGCUUUCUCAGAUUCUUACCUGUAUAGUGUUUACUUGCCUCCAUUCUUCUGAUUAUGUGGUAUGCUACAUACUGUAUAAUUGGAAAAGCAACCACCAAGACGCACUUCUGUUGCAUCAUUCAUUCGCAAAUGAAAGGUGAAGAGAAAGUAAAAGAUAAAGUAUUGAUUUGCAGUGUCAGAAUGGAUGAAACUACUUUCCAUUAUCAAACAGUGGGUGUACUCGACUGCAGCUCUUUACAGGGAAAAACCAGGAUAACGGCAUUGGGGAAGGUUCAUGGACUUUUCUCAAGUGCAUUUGCAGUUAUAUUUGAAAUAUUGGUGAUCUCUAGCCAUUAGUUUUGACCAAUUGUCCUGUAACUUAUUGUCCAAAUGAUAAAAAUUGAGAUGUUUUGGUCAAAAUAAUCUUCGGAAACAGAAAAAGAAGUACAUGGUACCUUUCUUAUCUUCUUCCUUUCCUAUUAAUUUUAUGGAGAUUCUUGAUCUUUUGCCAGUAUGGCAUAUAUUGGACAAUCAACUGGUUUUGAAAUACUAAAGAGCUAACAUCAUAAAACCCAAUUGAGACAUUGUGGAAUAGGCUAAACCUCUCUUAAUGUCUUUUUGAGCAAGAGCUAAAGUAGCUCCUAAUAGUACUGUUAUUAUUCCUAUGAUUCAUCAUAUGAAUAAUUGAACGUUCGACUGCCCAA